UCUGUGAAGAGACUUUCUUAUAGGGUUGCUGCUUGUCCUGAGCACACCUGCCUUAUGUGGACCAAAGCUGGGAGCUGACCUUUCAGAUUCAAGUGCUGUGGUGUCCAGCUGCUGUCUGAGCAAGCUUCAGGAUGGGCUGCUGUUAAUCCAGCUGAAGAGAUGGGCUCUGGCCCUUAUUUUUUAGUCCUGGGGGACAGUAACUGCGCAUGGAGAAUGAGAUGCUAGUGUGCGGGCUCAUGCAUAGUACCCAGCAGGAUGUGAAGUGCACAGUGGAACUAACACUCCAUGAAUUUUGACCCUUGGUACCAGGUGAUUGCCUUAUGGUUGCUGAAAAUACCUGCGUUUACAAUAUAAGAAUACCAAAUCUGCCAUUCUUCAUUGGGUAAUUUUGAAUCUGCUCAUUAAGCUCAUGACAGUGACUGAGGUGACCAUAUGGAGGGGGUGCUGCCUUUCUUCACACCAUCUUUACAAGUUGAGGACUUGCUUCAAAUGCCCCCUUCUCACACUCUUCCUUAACCCCUCUAGAAUGCACAUACUAAUCACAUCAUCUUAUGUAUCUACCAUUGUGGUAAAUAUAUAUACACAA